rnacentral:rRNA from 1 species
GACGAACGCUGGCGGCGUGCUUAACACAUGCAAGUCGAACGGAAAGGCCUGCUUUCCCUUGUGGAUUGCGGGUACUCGCGUGGCGAACGGGUGAGUAUCACGUGCGUGAUCCGCUCCCAACUUGGGUAUAAGCCUGGGAAACUGGGUCUAAUUACCGUUAGCACUGUAGGGUUGUGUCUGUGGUGGAACGCGAUUUUUUAGUGGUUCGGGAUGUGCUCGCGUCGUAUCAGCUUGUUGGUGGGGUAAUGGCCUAGCAAGGCGGCGAGGGGUAGCCGGCCUGAGCAGGUGAUCGGACACACUGCGCAGGAGAUUACGGCCAGCCGCCGACGGGAAGAAGGAGUGAGGAAUAGUACCCAAAGGGAGGAAGCCUGAGGGAGCGAUGCCGGGUGAGGGAUGAUGGACUCCGGGCGGUAACGAGCUAUCAGCAGGGAUGAAGGGGAAGUGACGGUAGUUGUAGAAGAAGCACCGGCUAACUACGUG